GCUGCUGUAGCUCAGUUGGUAGAGUACGUCCUUGGUAAGGACGGGGUCAUGGGUUCAAGUCCCGUCAGCAGCU
rnacentral:tRNA from 1 species